AGUUAAAUAUAAAUAUAUCUUGAAAAUAUAUGUGAAAAUUAAAUUUUUAUUAACUU
rnacentral:tRNA from 1 species